CAUCUCCCCUGCAGCUGUUGGAUUUGCAAAAAAACCCAAAAAAAACAGAGAAUAAUAUGGCUGUUAAGGAUUAAGGAUGCUUUCCAGCCUGAAAUCUUUAGGCUGGCAGUACUUCUCUCCAGAUGUACCAUUUGGCACAUUAAGCAAUUCUUUUCUUAGAAGGGGAACCUAUGGUUUUGUCAUGUAAUGCAAAACACCAAUGGAAUCACUACAUAAGCAAAAUGCCAGUAAUGGUACAGUGGUCCAGCCACAAACAUUGCAAACAACCCAGGGCAAAACAUGGUUGUGAAGGUUUGCAGCUACACUUGGAGCUGGAGAAAGCCAGUGCAGUAGUGCUGUGA
rnacentral:lncRNA from 1 species